AUACCCGGGUAGUCCUAGCCGUAAACGAUACUCGCUAGGUGUCGGCCACGGUGCGACCGUUGUCGGUGCCGUAGGGAAGCCGUGAAGCGAGCCACCUGGGAAGUACGGCCGCAAGGCUGAAACUUAAAGGAAUUGGCGGGGGAGCACCACAACGGGUGGAGCUUGCGGUUUAAUUGGAUUCAACGCCGGAAAUCUUACCGGGACCGACAGCAAUAUGAAGGCCAGGCUGAAGACUUUGCCGGAUUAGCUGAGAGGUGGUGCAUGGCCGUCGUCAGUUCGUACUGUGAAGCAUCCUGUUAAGUCAGGCAACGAGCGAGACCCACGCCCACAGUUGCCAGCGUACUCUCCGGAGUGACGGGUACACUGUGGGGACCGCCGCUGCUAAAGCGGAGGAAGGAAUGGGCAACGGUAGGUCAGUAUGCCCCGAAUAUCCCGGGCUACACGCGAGCUACAAUGGUUGGUACAAUGGGUAUCUACCCCGAAAGGGGAUGGAAAUCUCCUAAAGCCAAUCUUAGUUCGGAUUGAGGGCUGCAACUCGCCCUCAUGAAGCUGGAAUCCGUAGUAAUCGC
rnacentral:rRNA from 1 species